GGCAUGGUGAUCUUUACUGUAAGCAUGGCGUGCUUUACUGUAGACAUGGUGUUCUCUACUGUAAGCAUGGUGUUCUUUACUGUAAGCAUGGUGUCCUUUACUGUAGACAUGGUGUGCUUUGCUGUAAGCAUGGUGUUCUUUACUGUAGGCAUGGUGUUCUUUACUGUAGGCAUGGUGUUCUUUACUGUAAGCAUGGUGUUCUUUACUGUAGCCAUGGUGUGCUUUACUGUAGGCAUGGUGUUCUUUAUUGUAGGCAUGGUGUGCUUUACUGUAGACAUGGUGUGCUUUACUGCAGGCAUGGUGUUCUUUACUGUAGGCAUGGUGAUCUUUACUGUAAGCAUGGCGUGCUUUACUAUAGACAUGGUGUUCUUUACUGUAAGCAUGGUGUUCUUUACUGUAAGCAUGGUGUUCUUUACUGUAGACAUGGUGUGCUUUGCUGUAGACAUGGUGUGCUUUACUGCAGGCAUGGUGUUCUUUACUGUAGGCAUGGUGUUCUUUAUAGUAGACAUGGUGUGCUUUGCUGUAGACACGGUGUGCUUUACAGUAGACAUGGUGUUCUUUACAGUAGACAUGGUGUGCUUUACUGUAGGCAUGGUGUUCUUUACUGAAGGAAUGGUGUUCUUUACUGUAGGCAAGGUGUGCUUUACUGUUGACAUGGUGUGCUUUACUGCAGGCAUGGGGUUCUUUACUGUAGGCAUGGUGUUCUUUACAGUAGACAUGGUGUGCUUUACUGUAGACAUGGUGUUCUUUACAGUAGACAUGGUGUGCUUUACUGUAGGCAUGGUGUUCUUUACUGUAG
ensembl:lncRNA